GGACGAACGCUGGCGGCGUGCUUAACACAUGCAAGUCGAGCGGUAAGGCCCUUUCGGGGGUACACGAGCGGCGAACGGGUGAGUAACACGUGGGUGACCUGCCCUCAGCUCUGGGAUAAGCCUGGGAAACCGGGUCUAAUACCGGAUAUGACUCCAUGACGCAUGUUGUGGGGUGGAAAGCCUUGUGCGGCUGAGGAUGGGCCCGCGGCCUAUCAGCUUGUUGGUGGGGUGANGGCCUACCAAGGCGACGACGGGUAGCCGGCCUGAGAGGGCGACCGGCCACACUGGGACUGAGACACGGCCCAGACUCCUACGGGAGGCAGCAGUGGGGAAUCUUGCGCAAUGGGCGAAAGCCUGACGCAGCGACGCCGCGUGAGGGAUGACGGCCU
rnacentral:rRNA from 1 species